UAGGCAAAAUGACACCGUAACUUUGGAAGAAGGUGUGCCCUUUAUUGUGAUGAGACUUGCUAUUUGAGCUGUUGGGGGUUGCAGAUACCAGGUGGCUGCGACUGUUUAUCAAAAACACAGCACUCUGCGAAAUAGUAAGAUGAAGUAUAGGGUGUGACGCCUGCCCGGUGCUGGAAUGUUAAUUUAAGGGGUUAGCGCAAGCGAAGCUCUGGAUCGAAGCCCCAGUAAACGGCGGCCGU
rnacentral:rRNA from 1 species